rnacentral:rRNA from 1 species
GACGUAGGGGGCUAGCGUUGCUCGGAAUCACUGGGCGUAAAGCGCACGUAGGCGGGUCGUUAAGUCGGGGGUGAAAUCCUGGAGCUCAACUCCAGAACUGCCUUCGAUACUGGCGAUCUUGAGUCUGGGAGAGGUGAGUGGAACUCCGAGUGUAGAGGUGAAAUUCGUAGAUAUUCGGAAGAACACCAGUGGCGAAGGCGGCUCACUGGCCCGGUACUGACGCUGAGGUGCGAAAGCGUGGGGAGCAAACAGG